GUCUAGAUGUCCCGAAGGAGCUGCGCAGUUCUCCAUCGACCAUUCCAAACCGUUGAUUAUCUGUUUAUACGGUCCAUGGUACCACCAACUGCCAGCAACGUACAUCUACUGCAGAUUUUGGAGAUUGAUUUAUGGUGAUGUUUCACUUCUUCCAGAGCUUCAGUUCUUGCUUAGCAGAAUAAUUACAGCUGACAGUGAAUUUGGACGUUGGCAUUCAGAACUGGGUUGUUCCAUCCAAACUAUGACAAUGACGAAAGCUAGCAUCUAACUCGAAGGAGAGCUGCCCAGUUUUGCAUUAUCAACCAUUUCAAUGGUGUUCCCCUGCCUCUCGACCCUGAGGAGGAAGUUAGUAUGAUUCAAAAGGAAUACAUGCAGACUGCAGGCGUCCAGGGCGAGCCCUGCCACCUCCUCCACCAUGCCUUUCCAACCUUGGCCACC